UCAGGUUACCUAUAAGUGUCAUUUGCUUUCCUGUUAAGGGAUAUUUAUUAGUAUUCAGAAAUGCAUGAAUGAGCAAGGUUCUUAACCUCGCCUUGAGACUGGUGAAUGAGUAUUGUGCUUAACUCCCAUCCUUCUUAUUUAUGUGUUAUCUUUCCCUUAUCUCCACAGUAUCAGAGAGCUUCAGUUUUCUGCUUGUUUAUCUCCAUGGAGUCCUGAGGACUUCUUAAAAGAAUGAGAUGUGACUAACUCGUCCCAAGCCACACAAGAAGCUGGUGGCAGCACAGAGGAGUGAUGAUUUGUUGGCAGGGCAGGCCAAAAACCCACUUGGGCAAGAUUCAAACAAACAUCCAGGCCAGCAGCUUCAAGUGCUCUCAUUCACAAGCGAUCAGUCAGAAAUCUCUCUGCUGAGUUUGGUGGCACCGACAUCAAAGCUGUCCAUGUUGUUUGUUGUCACCUCCACUGUAGUGUCAGUGCCAGUGUACAGCAGAGGGGGACCUCAUCUCUGAACCAUGCUGGGUUAGGAGGUGGGAGCCAGCACUUUUCUUCCAGCAGAUUCCAUCCAACCUUGACCUCCACCAUCCAGAUCUGCAGGUGCAAGUCGAUUUGGAAUCUUGUAAUGAAGCACACACACAAAAACGCAGAUGGGGGCUCCUCGGAACUUCUUCUCAGGUACGUUUUUCUUUUAAAGGUGCAAAAGAAAGUUAUAAAAAUAAGAAAAACCAAAAGAGAAAAAAAAAAACCACACCCCCCCCCCCCCCCCCCCCCCCCCCCCCCCCCCCCCCCCCCCCCCCCCCCCCCCCCCCCCCCCCCCCCCCCCCCCCCCCCCCCCCCCCCCC
rnacentral:lncRNA from 12 species